rfam:Schistosoma curassoni strain Dakar, Senegal genome assembly, scaffold: SCTD_scaffold0003168
AUCCAGAUGACGAGGUCCAAAUAGGACGGAACGCGAGUCCUGAAU